GAAAUGCCGGUGUAUAUAUAUUUUCAACAUUUGACAUAACCCUGUAUGUAUUGUAGGAACAACCCAGGACGGGCAUUUCUCAGCACCCAGUCAACUGCCAGAAGUGACUCAAACACAGGCCACCAGUGGCACUCGGCUGUACCACUGCAGUGCUGCGGAAAUUGCCAGCACCAGCGGCUUUGCAACAGCUGUUUCACAGCAUGUCGGAGACAAUGCCUACGAAAUUAUUCGCCCUGAUGACGAGAGCCCUCAAGGGGCAAACGACAUCUCUGUUGCAGAAGUGAGACCGAUACCACCUGAAGUUACCAUGACAGGUGACACGGCAGCAAUAGAUACAGAGACGGCCAUGUCUAUUGCAGCUGCAACAAUGUACGUGGCAAGCAGCAGUGUGUCAGCAUCAGCAGCAGUGUCAGAAGGAACCGCACCAGGCCUGGUAGAGCAACAUGUGUGCUACCACUGUGACUUUUUUUGUAGUGCAUACAAAUCAUUUGCUCAACAUACAAAAGCUUUUCACCACGACUGUGAGCCAGUGUUCUUGUGCAGCAAGUGCAAGACUAAGUUAGGUGUUAUAACACAGUACAAGCAUCACUUUAAGAUAGGCAAACAUAUUACAGUUGUUGCCUCCCCAGCCAGCCCACAUAGCGACAACAAUGUGGAACACAUGGUGGGACACACCUCUUCCCCAUUAGAAGAUAGUAGAGACUGUCAGUGUUGUUGCUAGAUUAACUGGUCUUUGUAGGUAACUAGAAGGACAACACAGGUGUCGUAAGAUUGUUGUUGAUGUUGUUGUUGAAGAGGUGAAAAAGAAGUUUGAUGCAGCUGAAAUGCCAACUGAUAUUGAGCAAAUCAAAAACAACCACCUGAGAAAGCAGCACUAUCGAAAUUUGGGUAUCUAUGUGCCACCAACUCUGGUAAGGAUGGCAUAGGACAGAAGUGUGAUGAAAAUCACACAGACACUGCUGUUCCAUCACUGGUCACACUGAGCAGUGACUUGUAGGGCAAGAGAGUCAACUGAAACGAACAUUAUGGCAUAGUGUCAUGCUCCCAUGUCACCACUUUCCAUGUUAUUUUGCAUGAUACAGCUCAACCUCCAGAAACGAGACGGCAACUUGUCUGUAAAAAGCUUUCACAAAAAAUUAUUCAUAACACUAUUAACACAGCAGUACCUUCUUUUUUUGUGGGUUUGAGGUUCCCGGGUGUCCAUUAAUGCAAAAAUUGCGGAAAAAGAGAAUAUGUGUCGUACUUACACCUUUUUAACAAGUACGAAAGGGACAGAACUUUUCGAGUCAUGCAUCUUCAUCAUACUAUGAAGUUUUUAAAUUCCUUUUAUAAUUAUUAUUACCAGUUACAUCUGAGUGCAUUGUAUGCAUUUAGCAGAUGUAAAAUCAGGUCAGUUGGAUCAGAUGCCUUAUCUGCAAGAGAGCCCUAUAUUGAAGAAAUUUGAAAUAAAAUAGGUACAUUAGAGACGCAGUCUUUUAGCACUUUAUUGCGUGUGGUUUAAGCAUUGCUCAAUACUAUUGUGGAUGGCAGUUUCAACCGGCACAGCACUGCACUUUGUCACGGUCACGUGUCUUCAAAGCGGUGUUUACCAUUUGUGUUGAUCUGUUUGUGUAUUCAUAGAGCAAGUUUUUAAUUUUUUCCGCAUUCUUGUGCUUGCACUAAGCUUGUAUAAGGCAGUUACAAAAUGUGCGUCACUAUUACGAACUGUUCUGUUGGGCUUACACUUGCAAAUAAUAGUGUUCAGAUG
rnacentral:lncRNA from 1 species